GACGAACGCUGGCGGCGUGCUUAAUACAUGCAAGUCGAACGGAAAGGCCCUGCUUUUGUGGGGUGCUCGAGUGGCGAACGGGCGUGUAACACGUGAGUAACCUGUCCUUGACUUUGGGAUAUCUUCAGGAAACUCGGGCUAAUAUCGGAUAGGAGCUCCUGCUGCAUGGUGGGGGUUGGAAAGUUUCGGCGGUUGGGGCUGGACUCGCGGCUUAUCAGCUUGUUGGUGGGGUAGUGGCUUACCAAGGCUUUGACGGGUAGCCGGCCUGGGAGGGUGGCCGGCCACAUUGGGACUGAGGGAGGGCCCAGUAGCCAACGGGAGGCAGCGGUGGGGAAUAUUGCGCAAUGGGCGGGAGCCUGAGGCAGCAACGCCGCGUGCGGGAUGACGGCCUUCGGGUUAUAAACCGCUUUCGCCUGUAACGAAGCGUGAGUGACGGUAAUGGGUAAAGAAGCACCGGCUAACUACGUG
rnacentral:rRNA from 1 species